AUGUCUAAAAUAAAGAAAUUCUUUUCGAAGAAGAAGGAAGAAGCUGCUUUUAAACUGAAACUGGGUGGCGGUUUAGGACAAGGGCACACACUAAGUUCACAAAAUACCGAGGCUUCUACCUCAAAUCGCAAACCUAUUGCCGAUGCUUAUGUUCCACCUAAACGCAAAGAAUUAAGCAAUGAAGUAAGAGCAGCAGCAGCAGCAGCUCUGGCCAGAGUAGAAAACAAGGGAUCAAAGGAAUUUAAUACGUCGUUGGCAGCUAUUAAAGCUCAAGCUAAAAGAGAACUUGAAGCUGAACGAAAACUUAAGGAAGAAGUUGUGACACCCGAGCCUAACAAUGAAAAUAACCCUAAUAUAAAUUUGGCUUGCCAAGGAGUUUUCUUUCGCUGUCCUAUCAUAAGUGAUGAAAUUUUGUCGAAGAAAGAAUGGAAAGUUAAAAUUAAGGAUUUUUUAUAUCAGCAACUUGAUGCUGAAAAAGCGUUAACAUCAUGUUUGAUAAUCUACAAUUGCAAUAGCAAGGAAAAGGCAGAAGACUGCAUUUUAACUUUAACAAAAUACUUGGAGAAUAUAGUAAAGUUCCCAAAAGAAGAGAAAUACUACAAAAUCAGGAUGUCAAAUCGCAUAUUUUGUGAAAAAGUUCGCUAUGUUGAAGGCGCUUUAGACUUUCUUCAGGCUGCAGGAUUUCGUGAAGUGGAUUUGGAUGACGAGAAGUUUCUAAUAUGGUCGAAGGAUAAUGUAGAACAGGACUACGAAUUACCAACACUUAUAGAAGCUUUACAAAAUUCUGAACCAAUUCAACUCGUAUUAGAUCGUAACAUAAAAGUGUUGUUGCCUUCUCAGGCUAAACGCGUCGUUUUACCUGAUGAUUUCUACCGUAUUUCACCUGAAGAAAUUAAACGAGAACAACAGCUGAGAGCCGAAGCAAUUGAAAGCGCUCAAAUUCUUAAAACAAAAGCUAUGAGAGAACGCGAAGAACAGCGAGCCUUAAGAAUGUACAAAUAUGCUUUAGUGAGAGUAAAAUUUCCCAAUGGGCUGUUUAUACAAGGAACUUUCAGUGUUUAUGAAAAAAUAUGUGAUAUUUUUGAAUUCGUCCAAUCGUGUCUUCAAGAUGAAUCAAUGGAAUUUAAUUUGGUUGCCUCGAGUGAAGGAAAAUUUACGGAGGAGGAUAUGGAUAAAACUUUAUAUGACUUAAGACUUGUUCCAAAUAUUUUAUUGCUUUUCAACGUAUCUAAUGAGACAACCUCGGGCCAGGAUACAAACUUUUUAAAAGAAGAAUUAUUGCUUUUGGUUCAAUCUAUUUAGGACUAAAAUGACUUAAGAGCAUCUAAAUUUUUGCAUAUAUAUGUACAUGUUUGUACAUUAGAGGUGUUCAAUAUCGAUUUUAAUUAAUAUCUAAAAGUUACUACUGUAAAAUUAAGAAAAUUGUCUUUUCAACAUAAUUCACUGUUCUAACGAUACUACAACGGAAUCUGUUCCUUUAAAAUUAGGGAACUUGUUCCCAAAACCCGUAUAUACUUGCGUAACACACGUCUUUCUUCAAGAACACACUCAUUUGUGGUAGAUUGGUUAGUGGACCGCACAACACACUACAGGGACUGUUCGUAUGUGGAAUAAUCAUCCUGCAGAGGUAUUCCCUGCCACUUUCGAUAUAAAAUGUCCACAAACACUACUCCCUCUAUCCUCCUUCUCAUAACCUAUUUUCCUAGUUCCAACACAAGGCUUCGCAUAAAAAAGGGUCAUCCCCUUAGUGGUCCAAUAAAAAAAACAAGCUAAAAACAUUAACCUUGGAGUACUAAUCACAAUGUAAGUGAUAAUUUCAUACACCAUUAUUUUUUCAUUUACAAGUUAUGUAAACAAAAUAUUAUACACAUAAAUUUUAAUGAAAUAUCCAUUAAUUGUUAGUUUUUACUAAAUAUCUAAUUUUCUCUAGAAGGUAAUAUUUAAUAUAAAUAUAAAAAAAUAUAAUUUGAAUGGUGUUAUUUUUAAGAACUUAAACAAGUUCUAUUAUUUGCAGAAUUUAACCAUUUCAAUCGAUUUCCGCUACGGUUUUCCAUUAUGGGAAUUUAACUACAAUUUUACACAAGUCAGUUUUUGGAAAUAAUGAACAAAAUAAGAACCCUACUUUAAAAUUGAUGUAGAUACUUUAAUAAUUUUAUUUUAUUUACAAAAUAAACCUACCCUAUUGGGCUAUACUUAAAAUUUAUUUUAGAACACCUCUACCAAAAUACAACAAUCGUUUGAAUCCUCCAAUCCAAAACAAAAUAAAGGCAUUUUUCAUCGACGAAAGUAACACGCAUAGAUAUACAAUAACCACUACUGUGCAGUGCAUUGUGCUGGAACUAGAAAAUAGAGAUAUAACUAUUGACAUUUUUUGCAAAUAUGAGAAUUGGCAUAUCAUCAUCAAAUAGAGCAUAAAAAAUAUGAAAAAACCGCGGUAUUACUUUUCGCGGUUGCUAAAAAAUUCCACGUAUUUCCAUUAGUAUCUCAAUUAUUUUUAAAAAAUCAUGUUAUUGUUUCGCUAAGUUGUGUUUGUAAUUAAUAAUAACUGCGGGCAUACUUUAAAAGAUAAUUUGGAAUAAGGGAAGUAUACCUCACACUUGCAAAAAAUGUUGCAUUUUUUUAUAAUAACUGAUUCAUCAUCACUCAGCCCUAACCGUUAAAGCUAGAAACAUGAAUUUUUGGUACUAGGUUUCACUGACGUUGUAUUGACCCAUUAGGAAGGGUCAAUUAUAUUCCUUACUUAUACAACAUUGGCCAUCAUGUAGCGGUAUGCCAAAAAUUUCCCCAAAAUUUAUUAUGUCCCUAAUAAACAUAUGUACAACAGUAAACAUUUAUCUCUAAAACAUGAGAAAUAUGGACUUUCAAAGUAAAUUAAUAAUGUAGCGACAUCUCUUGUUG
rnacentral:misc_RNA from 1 species